UUGUGGUUAAAAAGCUCGUAGUUGGAUCUCAACAGCCUUGAAGCGGUUAACUUUGUAGUUUUACUGCUUUAUAGGCUGUGCUUUUGCUGGAGGUUUAGGGGUGCUCUUGAUCGAGUGUCUCUGGAUGCCAGCAGGUUUACUUUGAAAAAAUUAGAGUGCUCAAAGCAGGCUAAAAUGCCUGAAUAUUCGUGCAUGGAAUAAUAGAAUAGGAUGUCGAUCCUAUUUUGUUGGUUUUCGGGACUCGACAUAAUGAUAAAUAGGGACAGUCGGGGGCAUUUGUAUUCAAACGACAGAGGUGAAAUUCUUGGACCGUUUGAAGACAAACUACUGCGAAAGCAUUUGCCAAGAAUGUUUUCAUUAAUCAAGAACGAAAGUUAGAGGUUCGAAGGCGAUUAGAUACCGCCCUAGUUCUAACCAUAAACGAUGCCAGCUAGCGAUCUGCCUGCGUUUUUACUGUAGACUGGGCAGGAAGCUUCCGGGAAACCAAAGCAUUUGGGUUCCAGGGGAAGUAUGGUUGCAAAGCUGAAACUUAAAGGAAUUGACGGAAGGGCACCACCAGGAGUGGAGCCUGUGGCUUAAUUUGACUCAACACGGGAAAUCUCACCA
rnacentral:rRNA from 1 species